ensembl:lncRNA
UUUCUCUCAAAAUAAAUAAAUAAACUUCAAGAACAUAAAAAAAAUAAAGUAAAAAUUGCCUAAUGUUAAACACUGUGCUUCAGAACUCUGGAACUCUCACUCUUAAUCAUUGACUAUAAGUCCUCAUAAAGGCACUUUAGAAGAAAAUCUCCCAGUGUGAAUAUACAUUAUUCUACUGAUUGAAAAGUGUCUCGUGUAACAGAUGAAAAAGGGAUCUCAACAAAGCAUAUCUUUUUGAAAUUUCAUAGUAGGAAUGAGGAGUAGUAACUAAAAGCUUCAGAAAGAAUAAACAUCACCUACUCAGAAAUGGAGAAUCACAUGACGUAAGGCAUUUUAAACUAAGUUUCAUUACUAGAAAGAAGAUCACAGAGAACAUUCUCAAAUUUGGGAGAAGUAAAUUUUAGCCUAGAAUUUUAUGCCCAGUCUUUUAAGCAGUAGACGACAGAAUGAAGACAUUUACAAACAAGUAUGAUCUGUGAGAACUUACCUGCUAUGAAUUCUUUUUUAGGGAGCUCCUUCCGAGUGAACUGCAGCAAAAGCAAAUGAGCAAACCAAGAGAGAAGACAGCGGAUUUGGGAAACCAUGACUGAGAUACAAGAGUGUGAUAAUACCAGAAUCAUGUCCAGGCCCUACAUCCUGAGGAAUCCCGAGAUCUCUGAGCCAAGACUGAAGCCAAAUAAGGAAAAGCUUCAGGAGAAGGUCAUUAAGGAAAAAGAUUGUGAAAGAUCUCAAUUCAUGUUUGAAAAAAACACACCAGAAAGGAGGAGAGCAGUUCAGAAAAUCCUUGCUGGAGGGAUGGACCUUCCAAACCUGAGCCAGUCAAUGUGAAACGGUUCCGAAUCCAUGUCCAAACACGAGGAACUGAUGUCCCAGUAUAUCUAAAAAAUAAGAAACCGGAACAAACGCAUGUGAGUAGAGAGGUAAAAUUUUAUAUAUAAGUCCACAAAGCGAGAAAAAUAGUGGAAAGCCAAUGUGAUCACACUGAGUAAAGAGAAUUUCCAUUGUGCUCAGACAUGACGAAGAAUCAGCUAUAGGUCUGGAAGCCUGAAGUAACAGGAAGAGCGUUUGUAAACUACUUUCUCGUUAUGAAAGUCAUGUACAUUGGAUGUUCCUAUUCCAGAUGGUAGCACUGGUUGCCCCCAGGGUGCACUGGGACUAUGGCUCCAGGUGAUGCUUGGGGGAAGAGUGUGUACAAGAUGGAGUCAGGAAGUGAAUGCCCCUUGCACAGUCUCUGUUCAUACCAAGGUAGCUGGGCCAGUAAACAGGGACCUGAAGUGAGGCUCGCUAACCUAGAGGAGACCAUUUGAAGUCUAGUCAAAAUAGCAAUCACUCAAAGACAACCACUGCCCUCUGAAAUUUGAACAGUGACAGGAAUCAAAAUUAAUUGCGGACAUUGAGGACGUUUUCUGAUCCACACCAGUAUCACAUCAAAAGCGUUGUGUUUCUUACUCUAGGGGUACACGAGCAUGUGUGUUUUUCACACAAAGGUUGUAUUUGCUGCUUAUGCUUUUCUUACUAACCAUGUUCCACAUAUUUUGGCUGCCUCUGUAUUCUGCUACCAUUCCAUAACCAUGAGAUGAGAGAAUAGAAGAAAUUAUUCAGGAAGUGAGUCAGCCAUCAUUUUGACAAAGUAUACUUAAACGUCUUAUGGGAGCUCCUUCACCCUCCAGAAGGAGACACAGACAGUGGACUUCUGAUACCAAAGUCACAGUUGUGGGGAAUAUAGCUUUUAGCAAGAGGAAAAGGCUGAGGCCUAGAGAAAAGAAGGCCAGGAGGAAGCAACGUGGGGUUUUUAGGAGAACAGAAAGUGUUUGAGAAGCACAUGUGGGCAAUGGAUUUCGCUGGAUUAGAAGUUCGGGGACAAACGUUUAUACGAAAAAUAACAUGCACAUUUAUCUGUAAUACAAUCUCUGCGUAUAUCCCCUGAAAAUCCAAGUGGUUGAGGAUUCUGUGGCGUGAGGCCUCAGUCAUUUCUCUUUCCCUUAGGGACAUAAUUAAUACUCAUUACCACUCAAAUAAAAUAACUAAUAAAUACUUUUAAAGUACUCA